AGUUAAGCUGUACUACAUCUAAUGGAUAACUACUUCAGUCUGACAUGCUAUUUUGGAGCAGACAUCAUGCAAACUCAUGAACAAGAAGGACCCUAACAGUGUUUAUCAUUUUGCAAACACAGAACAAAAAGUUGAUCCUAUGUCAGUUAACGGUCUCUCUGCCACAAACAAAAAAAAUGAGGGCUCGUGUGGGAUGAUUUCUGCCAAGAGAGAGCCUGUCUCCCUGGAAUAUGUUUUCAUGAGAAGAAUAGUGGCCAGCUUAAACUGAGGCAAUAGAUGAAACCAGAUAACAUCUCAGAAGAGAAAUAUAAUACUUUACUGGAUGGAGUCCUGAUGCAGAACUGAAAGAAAAGGAAGUAGGAAGGAAAUUAAGAUCCCAAAGAUGUAUUCUUGGCCAGCAUUCUUCUCUUUGGACUGAUCUGCAUGACCUGAACCUUGGGAACGUUAUACUCUGGGAUAAAAAUGUUAUUCUCCUCUAAUAAACAACAAAAGGUUGCAAGGCAAAGACAUUUGAUGACUUAACAUCUAAGCUGCUCCUCAUCCCAGAAUAAAGAGAAGCAGGAAUUUUGACAGCUCCACUCCCUGUCAAAUUUCUAUGCAUCAACAUGCUCCACAAUAUUGAAGAAGUUUAAUUAGAUGGUUUCUGAUUCUAUUUUACAGCAUUCCACUGAAUCACAGAUAAACACGUUGUUAUCAUACUCCAUGUUCUUGGAGAAAAAGUAGACUGAUGAAUUGGAGAAAAAAAAACAACUCUGGUAUACAAUUUGAUGAAAGCUAUAUAUUCAACCCCUACAGUUCUGUUAUUAUGUGAUUCUGUAAUUUUGCUCUUAAAGAUACCUAAUCUUUGUGGUGGGGCUGGAAGGCCCUAUGGAUAUUAUCAGACAUGCUAUCUCCCUAGUAUGAUGAUAGUGUGUGUGACACAUGCUGAUCUGUGAGCAAUACAACCAGUGCGCAACAGAUCUGCCCAGUACAUGCCUUUGGCCAAUACCCAAAACUCUUCAGCAUGACAGUGACAGAGGCUGGAAACAAGUUGCAAGAGCCAGUGCAAAAGAAUGUGGCCAGUUCCCAACAGCUGUCAUUUCCAGGAGCCCCAUGAUUGUGUCCUGGUCAGUCUGCCAACUUCCCACAGCCAGACCUGCAACAUGAGAGAAAGGGUCUGGUGGCUUCCCAGGAAAAAGUAUUGCUAUUAGUAUUUCAUGGGUUCCAGCAAUUAUUCUGCAGAUCUACAAAGACUCCAAGCAGUAUUUUAAGCAAAAAAAGUCAUGCAUUACUUUUGAUUUUUUCAAAUUUUAGGCAGCUGGAUUCCAUUUUCCAAUGAACCACUAAACUAAAAAAUCAAUCUGUUCUUAUUUCAUAGGACAAUAUUUAUUUGCACCAAAUAGUCAACACAGUACAAAGGAUUCUCUGCUGAGCUUAUGUCACAUACCAGGUAUACAUCUUACAUCUGAUAAAAAGAAUACCCCAUCGCUAUACAAGAAACCAUGUUAAUAAUGAGACCAGCUCAAUACCAACUGCUAACAAGUUUCAUGCCACUCAGUCUAGUCAAAGAAGUGAAAUCUAGACAGCACAACAUUGCUCUAUAAGCAGUGCCCAAGUCUAACUGGUGCAGAAUUUAUUAGAGUUUCUCUGUGCUGCCGUUUUAGAAAUCUUUUUUUUUUAUUAUUGUCUUGAUUUUUUUGAGGAACAUAUUACAGUAAAAUUAAUCAAGCUAUACUGACUAUCUAUGGAUAAAUUUAAUUGUUUGUGUGCUAGAGAAUAAGAGAAAGGACUUCAUCUCACAAAUAGAAAGUAGGCUGUGUUUUCACACAUUAGUCCCAGUGUGCACCAGAAUGAACAACCUGCAGUCAGCUCAUACAGACAGUUUCGCUUUCUUCUCUUCUAUAAGAAUUGUUCUUAUGGAAUGAGUUUCUUCUUUUGUCUUAUGCUGGGGUCUGUUCCUCACCAAGGGCUAUUCAUUUGAGCACACAUGAAGCCACACCAGAAGAACUUAUUUUCUAAGAAGUGGAAACAGUAGUGGGGCAUCUUCUCCUUUCCUCAAGCACGUCCCAACUCCUCAUCAGCUCUCCCAGGAACUUCUAGAGAUGCUAUUAUUAAAACAAUUUCAACUCUCUUUCCAGGGCACGCACUUUGCAGAGGCCUGUCCCUGUUACCUUGUGACUGAGAUAUUAAACUGUUUAUGAUUAGACUUCACACUACCAACAUUCCUAGAAACGCCCAUAUUCUCUGUGGAAGUCUACAUGUGCACAAUCGCAGUAUCACUGGCUUGUUUAAGCUCAUUUCCUUAAGGCUUUCCUCUAGGCAAAGAAGCGUGACCUUCCUGUCUUCUCCUGGUGAGACAAGAGUAUGACCAGAUUUAACAGCUGGGAAAUGUUGCUUUUUCUGUGAUACAGAUACAGUCUGUAGAACUGAGUGCCACCUUUGAAAGUUUUAUGCUUCCCAUGCAGAGGUUGCUGCAUAUGCAUGAGUAGCUGCCAGGCAUUUGAAAACCUGUGCAGUUAUUCUUUACUUCUACAUACACUGAAACACUCAUAACACUCUAGCAGUAAGAAAUCAAAAUAUUUCAAUCUCUUGCCUUCAAGACUCCAGUUUCUCACUUCCCAUACAUAUUUCUAAAUACAUUUGUUACUUAAGCAUCUAAAAUGAACACUCCUCAGUAUUCACAAGUAUCAUAUUAAGAUCCCUUGACAUUUGACUUAAUUUUAAGAUGUAAUACACAAGUUUUUUGACAAUUAACUUCAAAAGAUAUUACUGUAAAUCCAGUACAACUUGGUUGUUUGAACAAUUAUCCUGAAUAGCACCGAUUUCCACUUAUUUAAACAAAAGCAUUGUUCCUUCCACUGGAAGAUCAUAAGGAGUUCAAAUACAUUUCACACACCUACACACACCUCCUGUCCUCUAUUGAUGCUUUAUUUUCUCUAAGGAAAAACAUUAUCAUUUGAACCAAGUUGUUUUCCAAGCAGUAUUACUCUUUAACUCACUAGGAAAGUACACAGAAAUUGCUUUCUAAGCACUUGAAAAAAAAUUAUCAUUUCAAUGAAAGAAGGCAUAAUUAGUCAACUUUUUAUUACAAAUACAGACUGUGUUGUGUUGCCCAGACAGAAUUUCAGGAUAGCCUCCCUGCUUAACUCUGAUUUCUGCACCACAUUUUUUCCCUUCCUUUGAAGGUGAAGCUGAAGAAAGCAUGAGAUCUCCUGCCAGUGGGAAUCUCUGUUCCCAUCAGGAAAGAGGUCACAGACUACAGCUGUGGAUGCACAUAUUUCUCUUUCAGAAAUACUUCUUAAGUAUUCUUUUUUCUGCUUGCUUUUUCGUUGUUGAUGUUGUUGUUGUCUAUUUAAACAUGGGGAGCAAUGUACUUAAAAGUCAAGAAAGAAACAGUUGAAUCACCAUAAGUUUUACUUACUAGCACCUACAGCAUUUGUCUCAUUUUCUUGAUGUCUGCUAGAGGCACCCUUCAGAACCACCAAACACUAAACCACAAAUUCAAAGUGAGUUGCUUAAGUAAACAGAAUUGAUCAAAGGAAUGAACUCCCUGACAGUGAUAUCAGUGGAGUUUGUGUCUGGAAAAUUGUAUUUCAGGGCCAAAGGGAUUCAUAUUUAUUUUAGAUUCCUGCUGUAGAUUUGGAAUUUUGUGCUGUGAGGUCUCUCACUCAUUUUUUUCUGUUCCUCCGAGAACCGGAUAGUGGGUCAGGAAAAAAAUUGAAAGUAUGUACUAAUUAUGCAGCAUAUUGAAAGACGCCCUUUUAACUUUCUACUAUAAACAAGACAACAAACAAAGCUAUUGACAUUAUUCACUUCUAGAAAGAAAAUUAUAAUGUCUGUGAUUAGUACACAUAAACUUUUUCUAAAGUUGUAUUUUAAAUGCAUAAAGGUUACAGCAAUAUAUAAUGAGAGAAUAAUUCUAUCACAUUCCUUUUUUGAGAAUGCUUACAAACAAUCCUAAAAAGAAAAUGCAAGUAUUUGCAUAUGGUAAGACAUUUACUAUCAAGAAUCUGAUCACAAUGUCCUUCUGCUAGUUUUAGGAAACUAGCAAUCUUAAACUCAAGCUAUAAAUUACAGUGACUGCUGGCAUUUCAUAAAAGUGUUUGCUUGUAAGCAUAACUGUUUUGGUUUUGUCUAUUGGGUUAUCACAAGAAAUGAGCUCUAGUUCCUCUAAACAAAAGCUAUUUGAAAGAAAAAUAUCCAUUUUCAGAUUGAAAACCUUUAAAGAAAAGUGGAACACAUACAGUAUAAUUUUUAAUCUUUUAUUUGAAUGUCUGAAUUUUUAUGACCUAAGUAAGCCUGAUACUUAGAGUUUUACUGACAAAAAUUCCUUUUAGUCAGUUUAGUGUGCAAUACAAGAAAAAUUAGCUAGAAUCUCAAAAUAAAUGUUUUUACUAUCUUCAUUCAGCUCUUAUCUAAAGCAAAGAGAAAAAUCUUCAUUGAUUUUAUUACAUUCUGAAUACAAGCCAGCAGAUAAGACUCUAAAAUAACUGAUUCAUAAAACGUCAAAACAAAGUCCUAGGGAUGAUUCACAUUCUCACAACCGUACUCCUAAAUAUGGUGAAGUUUCUUGUUUCCUCUGUGUAUUCUUAUCUUACUCUGACCUAAAAAAGUGGAAUCCAGUAAAGAUGAAAAGGUCCUUUUGUAAUUUAUACACUAACUUGACUUUCUGCCAGCUUCAUGGACUAAUACACUCACUGGUAAAGUAAAAGAAAAAAAAAGGAGUUAAGUUCUCUUAAUUUUUUUGUUACAACUUAAUUCCAUAGGAAUCCUCCUGUACUCUCACAAGUGGGACAUGUAUGAAGGGAUUAAAUAGCCUUCCUUCAUUCCUAGAAUUCUUAAAUCUUCAGGUAUGUUCUAAACAGAAAAAAAUUAAGUACAAUUAAGUUCAUAUACGCUUUGUCUUCCUAAAAUAUGUAACUUACUUUUUCCCAGUGAGGUGCUUUACAUUCUUAGAUGUACUUGAAAUGUCUAACUUUGUGUGGCAAACUAUAGAAAUAGAUUUUUUUAAGUAAUAGAUUUUGUUAAUACUUUUUUCUUUCUUUCAGUGAUUUAUUUAAAGCAGCUGAAAGAUAAAGAAGUGGUUUUGCAGUAAUGAAAAUCCCAGCUCUUCUAGCACUUGUGUCUUGGCUCAAUAGUUGCUGAUUUGCUCCAAAAUAUAUUACAUAAUAAAAUGGAAUUUCCAGACAGAAGCCAGUACUUUAUAGCUUGAUAUAUAUCAGAGGGACCUCUUCUACACUUUGGCUGCUAAUUAUAUGCUAUUGGUUCUUGACAGAAAUGCCUUCUGGGUUACAUUUAUUUUUUGUUCCCCUGAAGCCAUUUAGAGGAGAUUCCAUAGCAUACUUCCAGCUGCCAACGCAAAAUCUAUCUUUCAGUUGAGCAAAGUGAGAAUUUCUAAUAGCAGUUAAAUUCAGACUACAGAACUGUAUUUUUUGGUUUUUUGUUUUACACUUUUCUCUAAAGUUGGCAAUUUGAGGAUUAAAAGAUUUUUAUGAGGAGGGCAUACACGAGAAAUAGCAGAAGUAGCAUGUUUAGCAGCCACAUCAACUUUUGGAGAGCUAAUGGUGGAGUUGGUGAGAAUCAUCAUUUCUGAGGAACUCUGGAAAGAAGUUGUAGUAUUCAGACUUAAAUAUUGGAUCCAUAUGAAAUUCAAGAUUAUAAAUUAAUGAUCUACAAAGAGUUGGUAGAACUUAAAAUGCUUAUUGAAUGCAUCAAGAAAUUCAUGGGAGAAAGCAGGGGGUAACAUGAUUUUAUUUAAAAUGAAAAAAGCAAUGGAGUUUUCAACAGUUGUAUUGAUUAUAGAAAUUAACACUGUUUUCAAAAUCUCAGUGAACAGUUUCAUAAACAUGAGAAAACUGGAAUGGUUUGUGUGCCAGCACAAACCAUUACAUGGUGAUCUAAAGAUCGUAUGAAAUAUGUAAGUAAAAAUAAGGUAGGCUGAACAUAGUCUAGUGAAAUCACAGAUGUUCCAAACUGAGCAAGACUGAUUCAUAAACCUGGGUAAUCAGGUUACCAUAAGGAUAGAAAAACGGAAAUAAUUCCACUACAAAUGUUCUAGUUCAGUGCAUAGUAACAGUUAUCAAAAAAUGCGAUGUAUAAUAUAAACCUAGACUACUACAUAAAAUAAAAUUGAAUACUCUACACUACCAGCCUUUAAAGCUAUUUUUCCAUAAUAACAUGGUGUUACAAGUAGUUUGAAGAAAAAAAUUUAAGCAGAAAAAAAUGUCUCAGACAUCAACAUUAACAAAAAGGAAAUUAUUCUUCAAUCUCAUCAAAAUUGAAAACUUCCCAAAGAAAUUGUGACCUUUUGAUUUAAAACUGUACACAAAUAUGACUCAACUUUUCUCAAAAACGACACAAUAUAUAUUUUUUAAAGAUCUUUUUAAAAACCAAAAUAUUUUUUUCAACUGUAAGAAUAACUAAGAGCUUUCUCUUACCUAAAAAGUAAGAAAAACAACAAAAAAAUCACAAUAGAAACAAAAAAUGUCCAAGAAAUACAGAAGCUUCUCAAGAAAUAGAUUUUGAUAAUUCACAUACAAAAAAAGCUUCUUUCUUCUACAAUGAACUUUUCAAAAAGGCAAUUAAAUGGAAACUUAAUAGUAAUAAAAGCAAAGACUAUUUUACUAAAUUAUUAACUAUAUCAUAAAUGAAAAAGUUGCUUAGAAAGAUGUAAAUAAUAAUUUGUUCGCAAGUUUUCAUCAAGUAGCUACACCUACAUAAAUGUUAACAUACCUAGUGAAAAGAUUAAGUGAUAUGCACAUGACAGAAAAAAAAAGCCAAGGUAUCUACAUCCGUGACAGGAACAAAGCAGUAUUGGGUGGAAGAAAAAUGUGAAUGCUAAUGUUUUAAUGUUUUAAAUGGCUACCUUACAUUGCCAGAAUAUCAUAUAUGUUUUUGCCUUCAUAUGCCAAACUUUUAUGAAAUCUCUCAACUUUACUAUUUUUUAGAAGCAGAAUCGCGUUUUCAUGGUUUCAGUACAUAUACUGAGAUAAAGACCUUCUUUCCUAUUAGAUCUAAAUUUAGAGGAAAAUACAGAAAGUGUAAUAGUGUAAUUUUUAUUAUUAGGAUAACUGUUUUUCCUUGUUUACAUUUCCUUCACGAAAUGAAGCUGUUCCUUCUCUUAUCCUCUGAAGUUAUCAAAAAAUCUUGCUUACAAGACCUGUGACUUGGGAGAUAUGCUCUGUGAUUAUGACAAAACAACAUUCCCUUGCUACAGUCAUGAAGUUAUGGCGUGGUUUCACUAUGCAGUAUGUGUUUCUCGAAACGAACAUUUUUAAGGAUAAGGGGGAGGAACAACAAGGUGGACAUUCUUGUGAGAGUUUGUUAUAGACUGCCUAACCAGGAUGAAGAGACAGAUGAGGCAUUCUAAACACAGGAGUUGCAUGAUUGCCAGCCCUUGUUCUCGUUGGGCACCUCCUUACAAGAGGGGAUUGGCUGUUCACAAACAAGGAAGGACUGGUGGGAAAUGUGGAGGUUGGAGGCUGUCUUGGAUAGAAUGACCAUGAAAUGGUAGAGUUCUCAAUUCUUGGUGAAGCUGGGGAGGGGGGAGAGGGGUGCAAAACUGCUGCCUUGGACUUCUGGUGUGUGGACUUCCAACUGUUCAGGACACUGGUAGGGAGAGUCCCUUGGAAUCCAGUCCUGAAGGAUAAAGGAGACCAUGAAGGCUGUACACUCCUCAAGAAGGAAGUCUUAAAGGCACAGGAGCAGGCUACCCCCCUGUGCUGUGAAAUGAACUGGCAGGGAAGUAGACCAGCAUGGAUGAACAGGGAGGCUUCGCGAGAAAACAAGAAUUUAGCUCCUGUGGAAGAAGGGACAGAGGAGAGUACAAAGAAGCUGUCAGGGUGUGCAGGAAGAAAAACAGGAAGGCGAAAGUCCAGCUUGAAUUUAACUUUGCCACUGGGGUAAAAGAGAACAAAAAACUUUUUUACGAACACAUUAAAAGUACGAGAAAGGCUAAGGAGAAUGCCCAUCUUUUACCAGAUGCAGCAGGGAACAUGACUACUGAGGAUAAGCAAAAGGCUGAGGUUCUCGAUGCCUUCUUUAUAUCUGUCUUUAAAAGUCAGACCAGUUAUCUUCUAUCUCCAGACCUGGAAGUCUCAGAUAGGGAGCAGAAUAAACCUCCCAUUAUUCAGUGGAAACAGUUAGAGACCUACUACUCCAUCUGGUCUGCCCCAAAUCCAUGAGGCCAGAUGGGAUCCAUCCAAGGGUGCUGAGGGAGCUGGUGCAGGUGACAGCCAAGUCACUUUCCACCAUCUAUCAGCAUUUCUGGUCCACAAGAGAGGUCCCAGAAGAUAAGAGGCUUGCCGAUGUGACUCCUAUCUACAAGAAGGAUCAUAAGUAGUACCUAGGAAACUAUGGGCUUAUCAGCCUGACCUUGGCACCAAGUAAGGUUAUGCAGCAGAUCACAUUGAGGGAGGUCACACAGCAUUUGCAGGACAACCAGCAGAUCAGGCCUAGCCAGCAUGGGUUCAUGAAAGGCAGGUCCUGCUCGACCAACCUGAUCUCCUUCUAUGAUUGAGUGAUCCACUUGGUGGAUGAGAGUUAGGCCUUCAACCCUAUCUCCCAUACUGUCCUCCUGAAGAAGCUGCCAGUCCAUGGCCUGGAAGGAUACACUCUUUGCUGGGUAAAGAAUAGGCUGAAUGGCUAGGUCUGGAGAGUAGUAGCAAAUGGAAUCAUAUCCACCUAGAAACUCAUCAUGAGUAGUUUCCACCGGGGUUGGUACUGGGGCUUGUUCUGUUCAGAAUCUUUAUUGAUGACCUGGAUGAGGGCAUUGAGUGCACCCUCAGUAAGUUUGCAGAUGACACCAAGUUGGCAGGAAGCAUCCAGCACCUAGGGGUAGGAAAGCCCUACAGAGCGAUCUGGACAGGCUGGAUAGCUGGGCUAAGGCCAAUGGGAUGAAGUCCAGCAAGUCCAAGUGUCAGGUUCUCACUUUGGCCACAACCCCAGGCAGUACUACAUGCUUGGGGCAGAGUGGCUGGAAUACUAUUGGCUCUUAGCUGAACAUAAGCCAGCAGUGUGCCCAGGUGGCCAGGAAGGGCAAUGACAUCCUGGCUUAUAACAGGAAUAGUGUUGCCAGCAGGCCCAGGGAAGUGAUUGUUCCCCUGUACUCAGCCCAGAUGAGGCCACGUGUUGAGUACUGAGUUCAGUUUUGGGCCCCUCACUACAGGAAGACAUUGAAGCCCUGGAGUGUGUCCAGAGAAGGACAGUGAAGCUGAUGAGGGUCUGGAGCACAAGUCCUAUGAGAAGCAGCUGGGUGAACUAGGACUAAAUAGUCUGGAGAAUUGGAGGCUCAGAAGGUGACCUUAUCACUCUCUACAACUACCUGAGAAGAGGUUGUGGUGAGGUGGGAGCCAGCCUCUUCUCCCAUGUGACUAGCAAUAAAACUGGACAGAAUGGCCUCAAGUUGCGCCAGGGGAGAUUCAAGUUGGAUGUUAUGAAAUACUUCUUCUCCAAGAGCACAGUCAGGCACUGGAAUGGACUGCCCAGAAAAGCAGUGGAGUCACCAACCCCAAGGCAUUCAAGAAAUGUUUAGAUGUUGUACCGAGGAAUGUGGUUUAGUUGGAAAUAUUGGUGAUAGGUGGACAGUUGGACUGGAUGAUCUUGGGGAUCUUUUCCAACCUUGGUGAUUCUAUGAUUAUUCUUACUGUAAAUACGCAUGUAGUAUGUUGGGUUAUAAAUUAUUAAGAAAUGUCUAAUACAUCUUAUAGUUAACUGGAUAAUUUUCUGAAAACAGUAGUUCACUCAAUAUUGAGAUGUGGACAAAAAGACAAGUUAAAAAUGAAUAGGAGUAAAGUAACAUACACAAAAAAGAAAAUAAUUUACACUGACUAGAUCCUUAGCACGUACAUCUUCUGAACACAUAAUGGGUGAUCACCUUUCACAAGAGAAUGUUUCAGUAUGACACUAUGUAAAUAGAAGAUUACCAAAUUAAACAAAAUUAUAGAAUGGAUAAAGAAAGAUAAGGCUGUUUAGCUCCAAUACAAGUUGCUCUAGACAAGAUAAUAGGGAAAAUGGCCAGGAAUUUUUUUUUCUUUCUUAUUUUUCAAAAAUUAACAACCUGACAGUAAUCUGAAGACACUGAGUGAUUUAAAAUUAAAAAGAAGAAACACGCUUUCGUAUAUUGCAUAUCAAAGUCAUAUCACUCAUAGCCACAUUAUUUUCAAUUCUAAAGAUAUUAACAAAUAAGAAACAAAACAGUUAAGCAAACUGGUGUAGAAUAGAUGUGUAAAUAGCUCUCAGACAUGAUGGUACAGAUGUUUCCACUUCAGAAUUCUACUAGAAUCUACAAGAUUCUACUAGAUCUACUAGAUCUUCAGAAGACAGGACAGCACAGUGGGAAAGCCUUACACUCCUGUAAACUUCCUCUCCUGACCACUUUCUGGGACAGGAUUCUGGGUUAGAUGGAUCUUGAAUCUAACUCGAUGCAGCCAUAUUUAUUUUGUUUAACUGCUUGUGAAUGCUACAGAAGCAUGCUAGAGCUUUCUAAAGGUGUUAGAAAAUGAAUUUGCAUGAUCUAACUGCUUCAGUGAUCAUACGGUAUUUAGAUUGUAAGACUAACUUGAAUUGUUCUGCCUCUGGCCAUUACAUUCUCCCUCAAUAGACAGGAAAUCUUCUCUAGUUUCUGAGUAGGCAGAAGUGUCCUGGAAGGGGAUAGAGCUUCAGAAUGGAAAAAACUGAGAAUUAUCAAUUCAAUCAGUUUCCUGUCUUUCAGGAGCCUCAUGCCUUAUCGCAUAAUGAAAUAUAAACACAAACUCUGUUUUCCUGAAGUAUUUUCAGUUUGGUUCAUAGUAAAACACUAUGAUACUUUAAAAAAAAAAAUCCAAUUAAAUUAGCACAUUACUUUAAAAGUAAAUUUUAUGCCAGUGAUGAUAAUGGAUCCAAAGUGUGUGCUAGUCAUUUUUUUUUCCAUGAUGUUAUUUAAAAGAACUAUUAGCAAGGUGACCCACCACUUGUUUUAACCAAGUCCAAUGUGUAAGUCUGACGUGCUGUGAUUUCUCAGUGUCUUGAACUUACAGCCUAUGACCUGUUCUCUCCCAUCUCACACAUUGUUCUUUCUGCUCCAGGAGACAACUGAGAUCAUCAGAAUACCUACAGAGAGCCUCUAAGAAAAGUUCUGCUAGCUGCCUGGGAUACGGGGGCAUUGCUAACAGGUGUCCAAACAAUUCAUGUAGCCAGGCUACUGGAUAAUGGAAGAAGAAUUGGUUUAGCAAUGUAAUAAAAAUUCAGGGACCACUUGGGUCAGGAACCAGCAACAAUAUUUUUCAGAUGAUUUCUCAUGGGAGAAAGAUUAUUUGAUCGCACUAGAUAUCUAGGUUCAUCAGAUGGGUUUUACUUAAUUGCUUCUGUCCCUGGGAACGAUGACAAAAAGUUUUUAAAUGUAGCUGCAGAAGGCAAAGCAUUAACAGUACAUACAGAAAUUGCUACAGGCAGAGGAAGAAGGUGGUUCUCAGUAGCAGGAUCAAGAGUAUCUGUUUUCUGAAACCUGAGCUUAAGUAAAUGACAUGGACUUUUGGUAGCCUUAAUUCCCAGCAGUCCACCCUGAGAAACUUAAGUUAGAAAGCAGUUCAAAAUUCUCAUCUCUGUCUCUCCUAUGCUGGGAGUAUCUCCCUCCCUCAUUCCUCUUUCCUAGCCUUGUCCAGAGAUAGUAUUCUUUUUCCAUAGGGAUGAUUCCAGUUUUAACUGCUUGAUCUCCUCCUAUGAGUUUCUUGUGACUGUUCUAGUGACUUAUGUUCAUUUUUAGUGGAGCAGCAUGAUGAAUCUGCUUUCUCUAGAAAUUGGAAAUGGGACUGGAAAAUGAUAUGAGCCAUCUCAUGCUCUAAAAUGUAAAAACAUUUUAGAGGAUUUAUGCAUUUAAUGUGUUUGCAUUCCUCUGCAGAUGUAGUUAAAUAUCAGAGAUAGCUGAUGGUUAUCCCUGCUACUAAAUAUUUCUCUUAAAUUGUACAGUUAGUAGUCAGGGCUUAUAUGCUUUGGAUAUUGCAUUCUAUUUUCAAUGUUUCUUUCACAGUCUUUUCCACACUUUGUAAUUGUGAGAGAUUUCCUCUGAAAAAAAAAAAAAAUAGUAGGUAUGCCAAUGCAAUUUCUUCUUCUCUUUAAAACGAAUGGUGUUUUUUUAAAAUAUAUUUAUAUUUUUUCAAAAUAUUGAGGCUGUCACUAAAAGAGUUAAGCACCCCUAGGACUAUAAUGCUUGCCCAGACAAAUGCACAUUCCUGUCUGUAAAGACCUAGCUGGAAUGUCUAGCAUCAGAAUUUAACAUUUUGUGCAGUCAAUUCUAUUUCACAUACUAAGCCACAAACCCAUUAUAGUUGAAAACAGUAGAAGGUCUGUUUUAAAUUAGGUGACGCAAAUACAGUAGUAACAGAAACCAUGGAAAAAACACAGAUGUAUAGAAUAUAUGUACAAGCAAGGCAGCCAAGUAUGAAAGGCAGGUAUCAGUUAAAAUGCUUUCUGAAGGAUGAAGUUACAUUUCAGCAAAUAGUAUGAAAAAAAAAAAGCAAUAUAUUAAUUGAACAAAAAGGCAACAAUGUAUGCUUCUCAUCUCCUGAAGUUCUAUAGAACAUGAAAGAAACAGGUAAUCCCCAACAAGUCUUCUGUGAAGACAUUAUAUGCAAGGAAGAGUUAUCUUCCUUGGAAUGCACAUCAGCAAGAGAGCCCAAUAUGAACUGCUAAAACAAGUAACCUAGUCUCAUGUGAAACAUGUUGAUUUAGCAUGAAUAAAACAGUCACAGUUGGAGUGCCCAAAACUGCUCAUUUUAACCCCUGUAUCUAGUUCGUAUAUUCUUAUUUCCUGAUGUUUCUCCUUAAGAAUUAUUUUACCUCAAUCAAUUAAGUUUUUAAUUUCUCCCCUAUUUUUCUAAAUGGUAUUUUCUUCUCCAUUAUGUAAUACACAAUACACGUUCAAAAAACAAUUUUCAUAGAAAUUACUCUCACAGAUUUGUCAAAUAAAUGUGACAAUUUGGAAUGCAGUUUUUUUUCCUAAAAUUGUUGUGAUAGACUCUUAUGAUAUAGUACUAAAAGUCAGAGUAGGAGAGGCAAUGGUAUUCUUAAAACUUGUAGACUUGGAUAUAACAAAGCUAUUUCCUCUUCAGAUGCAACUGUAGCAUAUCACAUAUGUAGCCUGUAUGCACUGUUUAUUCUUUUUACUAAAAUAAAAAGUCUGACUGAGACUAGAAAUUAAAAUUAGUCUUUGUUGUUGAAAAGAACAAUAAAAGUAUAAAAACUAGCCCUUUACACAGUCAGCCCAUAAUUCAGGAAUGGAAGUCUGUAGCAUACAAUGGGACUGUCAGAAUAAUUAAAUCAAUUUUUAUCUUAUGUCACUUUUGUAAUGUCUUUGCUUUCAGUUUCUUAAUGGCUGUCUCAAACUCUAACAGCUGGGAUAACUUGGGAAUGGCAGGAAGAGAUUUUUUAUUUAAUAUAUCAACCAUUCAGUGUUGUCAUAUUCAGACAUACUGUAUAACUAAUAAAUGCCUUCCCAGUGGCACUUGAAAAACAUUGAAACUAGAACAGAUUUGAAUAAUUUUUUUUCCCCCAAACUCAGGGAAAAACAAUCUUGCAUCCCAAUAUUUUCUAACUGAUUUCUAAAGUAAUUAAACACAUACUUCUCAGUGAAAAAAAUUAAUGAGAUUUAACUUCGAAGAAAUGUCUUUAGCUCCAAUGUCUUUUGGAAUCCUCAUUUAGAUUUUUACUUCCCCUGCACUUAUACUUUCUGCAUAUCUUCAUUUAAAUGAAGAUGAAGACUAAAUCUAAGGGGGUUAGAGUAUUAUCAUCUACACAUUUGUAAACCGUGCACACAUUUAGCGUAAAUUUCAAUAUAUACAGACUAAUACAGGUAUUGGGAAUCUGUUGCAUGACUUUCUCCUUCACACCUGAAGGAUUCAGAAGAAUAAGAUGCAAGUCCAAACUGUAAAUUGUGUUCUACUUUGUCAAUUUACAAAAGAUCUGCUGUAUGUAAGAAAAGUAUCCAACACAACAAAUUUUGGGUAAUGACAACCAGAUCACAGUAGGCUGAGAAUUUUUAAUACAUUUUGAAUGUAUGCCCCAUAACAAGAAUUAUUUAUAAAAAUAACAAUAAGAAAACACCAAGCAGUAUUUAUCAUCAGCUUAUCUGUAAAGCAUGAGCAUUCAGUGUGAAAGCUUUCUCCUAAAGACCCUGAGCAUUUGUUUCAAAAGAUGCAUUCAAAAUAAA